UACGGAGGGUGCGAGCGUUGUCCGGAAUCAUUGGGCGUAAAGGGCGCGUAGGUGGCCUGGUCAGCGUGCGGUGAAAGCUCGGGGCUCAACCUCGAGACGCCGGUGGAAACCAUCUAGCUAGAGUCCGGAAGAGGCGAGUGGAAUUCCUGGUGUAGCGGUGAAAUGCGCAGAUAUCAGGAGGAACACCUAUUGCGAAGGCAGCUCGCUGGGACGUAACUGACGCUGAGGAGCGAAAGCGUGGGGAGCGAACAGG
rnacentral:rRNA from 1 species